UACCCGCACCCCGAGUGGUCGGGACGUUUUAUUGGGCCUAAAGCAUCCGUAGCCGGUUCUACAAGUCUUCCGUUAAAUCCAACUGCUUAACAGGUGGGCUGCGGAAGAUACUAUAGAGCUAGGAGGCGGGAGAGGCAAGCGGUACUCGAUGGGUAGGGGUAAAAUCCGUUGAUCCAUUGAAGACCACCAGUGGCGAAGGCGGCUUGCCAGAACGCGCUCGACGGUGAGGGAUGAAAGCUGGGGGGAGCAAACCGG
rnacentral:rRNA from 1 species